UGAAAAAAGCAAACUAGAUGAAAAUCUAGGACGCAAAGCAAACGGUCUAAGGGAAGUUAAUAGUAACUUUCUAUGAUAGCGUAGCUACCG
rnacentral:ncRNA from 1 species